CUCUCGUCCAUUUUACUGGCUGGAUGACAAAAUCACCCCUGACAGGCCGGAGCUUUUCAUGCAGCUCUGUGAGUGUUUGUGUGCCACACUGUACCAAAGAGCAGGGACACACAGGAGCCCAUUCGCUGCAUCAGGCCACCCGCUGUUGGUUCAGACUGCCGAGGGGCUUCGCGGGCUGGAGGUCCGUCUGCCGUCGAUGAGGGCGAGCGGUGCUGGGUCCCGGCUGGAUGCUCGUCAACGCCACAAGGACCUGAAAACUUCCAACUGAAGCUCCUUGACCCGUCUGACGGGCUCAGACAGCAGGAAUGAUCAUCAGACUGGGAAGACUGACUCCGGGAUACUUCCGUCUCCUCCAGAGGCAGAUGUCAGGUGAGGUCCAGAUUCAGCCUCAGAGCAGCCUCAUCGACCCCAUCGCCAUGACGAUGGCCACGGUGGGGAUGGGAGUGUCUCUGUACAGUGCCAGGCGGAUGUCAGAGAGGGUCCGACUGAAGCGGCCGACCGCCUGAGAGGUCUCACCUGUUCGCCGCUGUGCGGGCGGGUCACGUGACAGACGGCACGUUAGUGAACGUCGGAGAAAGUCUGUGUAGUAGGAAGCUCAGAGUGUGUGUCUGUGGGUGUGUGCGUUGCUGGAAGGAAAAGCGAAGGUAAAUGUGAGUCAGCGUGUCACCUGUGUGAGUCUGUAGUUUGAUAACCCUACGUACUGUGUGCAGGUUUCCUUGAAAAGGAGUAUUUAAUCAGGUAUUCUAGUGCAAUUAAUCAUUAAUUAAUAAACGUCUCAGCAUUGUAGUUUUGUUCAGUUUUAACAUACACGUUUGUGUAGUACACAGAUGUGCAGGAAAUCUCAUAAGAUAACAACGUGGGAACUCUGAUCACCUUUCCGGUCAUUUCUUGUAGUCUGUGAAUAAAUCCUUGAGCAAAGUGAGUCACUGAGUAUUCAUAGGGAGAGUUUUUCACCAGAGCUUCUUCGAAUUGCUAAUUUAUAACAUAUUUCAUGUUAGUUCAGGAUUUACUGAAGAAAAUGUCUGCAGAUGUGAAAUGUAACUCAGAACAUUUACAGUUUAUGGGUCUAAUAAAAAUGCUCACAUCUUC